UCUUUUAAUCUUUUUGUUGCUUUAUGUGAAUGAUGUGGUUAAGAAUUUUUUUGAAAUCAACCAAUUGAAAACUCCUAGCAAAUAAUUUGAAAUGAAUUACUGGGGAGAGCAAAAGUAUUUUAAGCUAUGAGAAUUGGGGUGCAGUAAAAUGUAUCGACUUGAGGGGUAUAUCAAAAGUUGAUAUGUUGUUAGAUAGUAGUGAAAGUUGGACUUAUGUGAUCUAGCCAGGAAUAUGUAUUUGUUUUUUUUUUAAUUUUUUUUCUUCAAGUAGCACAAAGAUCGGUGUAAAUGUUACUAGAUAGCUAGAUGUUGAUUCGCAAGUGAUUUAAUGUGAAUGUAAACGACAUGGAUACUAUGGGUAUUUCCUAACCAUGCGCUCUUAAAACAAUGUCGAUGAAGCAUAUUGAAGUUAGACAACACUUUUUAUCCGUGAGAUAAUAUUUGAACAGUGAUGUCUCUUCAUGAAUUUUGACGCCAAG
rnacentral:lncRNA from 1 species